rnacentral:rRNA from 1 species
UACAGAGGGUGCGAGCGUUGUUCGGAAUUACUGGGCGUAAAGCGCGCGCAGGCGGCCUUUUAAGUCUGGCGGUGAAAUGCCGGGGCUCAACCCCGUUGCAUGCCGCGGAUACUGGGAGGCUGGAGACGAGUAGAGGCAAGCGGAAUUCCGGGUGUAGCGGUGGAAUGCGUAGAGAUCCGGAAGGAACGCCCGUGGCGAAAGCGAGUCCCUGGACGUCGGCUGACGCUGAGACGCGAAAGCCAGGGGAGCGAACGGG